CCUACGGGUGGCAGCAGUGGGGAAUUUUGGACAAUGGGGGCAACCCUGAUCCAGCCAUUCCGCGUGAGUGAAGAAGGCCUUCGGGUUGUAAAGCUCUUUUGUCCGGAGCGAAACGGGCGGCCCUAAUACGGUCGUCUACUGACGGUACCGGAAGAAUAAGCACCGGCUAACUACGUGCCAGCAGCCGCGGUAAUACGUAGGGUGCGAGUGUUAAUCGGAAUUGCGGGGCGGAUGUUGUAAGCAGGAGGUUAAAUCCCCGGGCUCAACCUGGGAAUGGCAUUUGGGACUGCAAGGCUGGAGUGUGGCAGAGGGGACUAGAAUUCCUGGUGUAGCAGUGAAAUGCGUAGAUAUCAGGAGGAAUACCGAUGGCGAAGGCAGGUCCCUGGGUUAACACUGACGCUCAUGCACGAAAGCGUGGGGAGCAAACAGGAGUAGAUACCCGUGUAGUC
rnacentral:rRNA from 1 species